GAAGGGGGCUAGCGUUGUUCGGAAUUACUGGGCGUAAAGCGCACGUAGGCGGAUUGUUAAGUGAGGGGUGAAAUCCCAGGGCUCAACCCUGGAACUGCCUUUCAUACUGGCAAUCUCGAGUCCGAGAGAGGUGAGUGGAAUUCCGAGUGUAGAGGUGAAAUUCGUAGAUAUUCGGAGGAACACCAGUGGCGAAGGCGGCUCACUGGCUCGGUACUGACGCUGAGGUGCGAAAGCGUGGGGAGCAAA
rnacentral:rRNA from 1 species